CAGGUUCAGUCAAUCAUUCUCUUGCUGAUAUCAUGCACGAGUAAGCACCCUGGGAAUAAAACCACGUGAAACCAGAUCACAAGCACCUUGAACCGGAAGCAGAAUGAACCGGAAGUAUACAGCACCUUGAGUCUACGUCUAGCGCAACACAGUAGACGGAACCAGCCUCACGGAAAACAGGGAUAUCAAAUAAUUUGUCAGUUUGUACCGUAUCGAUAAGUCGCUAUUCCUGACAAGGGAAUGCUUACAAGCUGAUAUUGUGUCUGCCAACCUGCGGUGCAGCCGAUUUUCUCUGGUAGCUUCAAAUUGACAGCGAUAAUCCCGGGGCUGCCGACAAACAACAGAAGUGCCAGCGCAAGGUCACCAAAAAUUCCCCGCACCAAAGCUGCUUGGAGUGGCCAGACGUUGUGUGGCAAAGCUGCAAGAGUGUCUUGGUAUUUCCUUUCUCGUGUCAAGCCGCGCUGUUCAAUGGUGGCUGCCUCCAAUUCUUCAUCAUCAUCACUGUCUUCACUCUCUACUGGAGAUGGAUGGGAAGUGGCUGAUGCAGGAGUGAGGGAGCCACUAGCUGGGCAGCAAUAUGGACAGUCUCCAUAAUCCAGCACCGGCAUGUUCUCAGGGGUAUGGAUGCCAGACUCACUAAGAGUUGGCACAGUCAGUGGGACUUUUGUGAUGUGCUCCCAUUCCCAUAUGCAUAUUGCAGUUGUUACGGCACUGCAGGAGAACUUCCGUGUUUGAUAUCUUAACUUCUGGACAUGCUAUAUGGCUAUCCUUUUCAAAUAGUGUAUUUGGUAUAUCUUAUAAGUAAUUGGUGAAGUGUUGAUCCCCUAGUGGCUUCUUUUGGAACUACAGGGGCCAAUUUAGUGUUGAUAGCUUACAUUAUAUAUGUUAUAUCAGGAAAAUGUGACUUGCUCAAUAUUACUGUCCCAUUGAGGUAGCCAGAGAAAUAUGGAUUUCUUUUGUCAGGAAUAGCCUUCUUGACACAGUACAAACUGACAAUGUUGCAGCACAAAAA